rnacentral:rRNA from 1 species
UACGUAGGUGACAAGCGUUGUCCGGAUUUACUGGGCGUAAAGAGCGCGCAGGCGGUCGAUCAAGUCGAGUGUGAAAGCCCCCGGCCCAACUGGGGAGGGUCAUUCGAAACUGAUCGACUUGAAGGCAGGAGAGGGUAGUGGAAUUCCCGGUGUAGUAGUGAAAUGCGUAGAUAUCGGGAUGAACACCAGUGGCGAAGGCGACUACCUGGCCUGUUCUUGACGCUUAGGCGCGAAAGCUAUGGGAGCAAACGGG